AUGCGUACUGCCUGGUGUUGCAGGCUGAGGCUUGGUGCUGUUGCACCAAGCAGGACACCAUGCCCAAAUCGAAUCAGUGCGUUCGACAAGGCUGUCAGAUGUUUUGCAGAGAAACCGGCUGAAAAUGUGAUCACACCUAUUCUCGGCACUACAUUCAACUCCUUGGGCGAGGCUUCUGGUGAUGCUCUCACUGAUUUGUUGUUAGUAAAUCAGAUACAAAUGGAGUACAAUUUUUAUCUGAGAAGCUCAUGA
rnacentral:rRNA from 1 species